ensembl:lncRNA
UGGAUGUGAAGGAUAGGAAAGGAGAAUGAGGGGAGAGAAGAGGGGGAGAGAAGAAGAGAGAGAAGAGGGGGAGAGAAUAAAGAGAAGAGAGGGAGAGAAGAAGAGCGAGAAAAUAGGGAGAAAAGAAGAGCGAGAAAAUAGGGAGAAAAGAAGAGAGGGAGAGAAGAAGAGAGAAGAAGAGAGAGAAGAGAGAGAGAGAGAAGAAGAGAGAAGGAGAGAGAGAAGAGGGGGAGAGAAGAAGAGAGAAUAAGAGAAGAAGAGAGGGAGAGAAGAAGAGAGAAUAAGAGAAGAAGACAGGGAGAGAAGAAGAGAGAGAAGAAGAGAGAAUAAGAGAAGAAGACAGGGAGAGAAGAAGGGCAGAGAGAAUGCCAAGCCUCUCCACGCUGUAGGAGAUUACUAAGAGGAAGACUUCAGACUCACUGAGGAGAACACAAAGAGAAGGAGGGAUACAGACAGAGAAGAAAGAAAGAAACUCUGCAAGUCAGAGUGCUGCUGAUGUGAAGGGAGGAAUUAAACCAUGCCG